rnacentral:ribozyme from 13 species
AUGACAAGAGAAAAAAAAAAAAAAAGGGCAUAUAUUUUAUUUUAUUUCUGAUUUCAAAUUUUACUUGUGAUGCUAAUAUGAUGAGCACUAAUUUUUCCAUCAAAUUUCACAAUAAUUGAGAAUUUUA